rnacentral:rRNA from 1 species
UCCGGAGAGGCAGCCUGAGAGACGGCUACCACGUCCAAGGACGGCAGCAGGCACGCAAAUUACCCAAUCCCAGCAACUGGGGGAGGUAGUGACGAAAUCUAACGAUGCGGGCGCCCUUUUUGGGGCCCCGCAAUCGGAAUGAGCACUUUCUAAACAACCUGUUGAGAACCUACUGAAGGGCAAGUCUGGUGCCAGCAGCCGCGGUAAUUCCAGCUUCAGCAGCAUCUAUUAAAGUUGCUGCGGUUAAAAGGCUCGCAGUUGAAUGUCAGUAUCGAGCGCAGGUCAGGUGGACGCUGGGGCGUGGGAACACAAGGCGCGGUACGGGCCCUUGCCUCGCGCUUGUGGUACCGGCCGUGUCUCUCACAUACCCCCGUCCGUUACAAGCCUCCUCGCUCGCGUACAUAUCGGAAUUGGUCAAACGGAGUGUGCGCAGUCCCUCUCCUCUCGUCUUCAGGCCGCGUUCGCGCGUGUCGGCUGUGUUGGGUGUGGGGGCUCGCACGGUAAGCUCCUUCGGUUCCAUGGUCACCUUGAGUAAAUCAGAGUGCUCAAAGCAGUCGUAGGGGCCUUGCGCCCUGUGAACAGUCUUGACGGACUGACUUGGUUUUGCAUGGCAUGUCGGAAGACGACGUCGUGUGCUGGCUCAGAGAUAAAUCAGUGGUGCAAGCCAGCCUCGACGUACUGAUUAACAGGGACGGUCGAGGGCAUUGGUAUUGCGAGGCGAGAGGUGAAAUUCUAUGACCCCCGCAAGACCUCCUGAAGCGAAAGCGUCUGCCAAGGACGUUUUCAUUAAUCAUGAACGAAAGUUAGAGGAUCGAAG